AUCCCCCGGUGAUCUACUCAAUCUCUGUCCUCCCAUAGGCUGUAUCAGGUGUCAAUCAUAGAAAACAUGAACCCCCUAAUAACUUUUAAAAAUGGAGCUGUACAGAAAAAAGAGGACUUGAGCACAAACCAGUCUGACAGUAACUACAUGUCAACAUCACAACCAGGGGGGAGAAACAUUUAUAUUCUGUGUCAUUCAUUUAUAAAGUUUGUCCACAGCUCCAUAAGGAGGCGGGGUUUAGGACCUAUACUGCAGCCCGUCACCAGAGGGCGCUGUUCUCAGAGAGAGGAGGCAGACGGCGUCUAUUCUAGAUACGGUCUGUAGUCCUGACUCCUGACCACGACCGGCAGCAGCAGCAGCAGCGUUAAUUUCUAACGAUGAACAGCUGAAGUGACAAACAUGAUACAACAAUCCGACUAAAACACACAUGAUCGUGUGUUAAAGUCGAGACUAACGACAGAGUUAAUGUGAGAAAUCUGUGCAGGAACACCAACCCUGUUAGGAACGUGUGGACACGCCCCUGAACAUGUGACCUUAGAGACGAGGAGAGCAGGUUCAGAGUGAAGAGGAGACGUGGACGAAUGUUCUCAUCAUGAGGUCGAUCUGUGAGCGUCUCCUCAUGGCUCUGAUCUUACUUUUAUAUUGUUCGUUCACUUCAAACCUUUCCUUGUUUCCUUUCCUGUCACCUAAAAGGAUAGUUUAGUGUAUGAGGUUGGCAUGAAGUGUGUGACACUGUCAGAGG